AGAUGUCCUUGACAGAGGAUAGGGGUGCCUUUUAUAAGGAUGACCUGAUUCAGCAGGGGCUUCCCUGAAAGGGGCGAGAGAGAGGUGAAGUCUGCAGGGGACGCAGGGCAGAGUGAGGGGCCUGGUAGGAAGCCCUUGGCAGGGUUGGGUGGGGCGCUACAAAACCAUCUCGAAAGACAAGAGAGACCCCUUGCCACGCUGCCUAUUUGAGGGGAAGUCUCUGAACCUGAGUGACGACAGUGAAGAGAAACUAAAAAACAGUCAUGUUCCAGUGGAAGAAAGAAUGCCCAGAACCUGAGCCCAAAAGAGCACAGACGACUCUUCCACAUACCCAGCGCCCCGGAAUUCACACAGAGAAGUCACUGUCUUCCUUAAGGAAGUCCUCAGUCGUCUCCCUGAGCAACAUGAAGAGAACAGUGAGUCAGCCCAGGGCACAGCCAGCCCCCUCCUGCUCCCCAGAUCAGCACGCAGCAUGCCAGCAUCCUGGGACACAGACAUCCUUGUCCUCAGAAGUUACCCAAACCGUCUGCUCCUGCCUUGAGCUUUCUGAGAAGAGUGCCUUUCUCAAGUUCAUUUCCAUGUCCCCAGAGACACACGGGUCUUCCCAGCUGGUGCAGUGGUAAAGAAUCCACCUGCCAAUUCAGGGGAUGCAAGAGACACAGGUUCGAUCCCUACGUCGGGAAGAUCCCCUGGAGGAAGAAAUGGCAACCCACUGCCUGAAGAAUCCCAUGGACAGAGGAGCCUGGUGGGCUACAGUUCAUAGGGUUGCAAAGAGUCAGACAUGACUGAAGCAACUUAGCACGUGUAUGCAAUAGGCAGAUUCUAUGUAAAAAUUUCUAAAUUCUUAGACGUGGAAUUUUCAGCAAAAGCAAUGAUUUUUCUCCUGCUCCCUUUAGAGAGUGCUAUCGUUUUCAUAAAGAAGGAAAAACAACCUUAAUCAUCACUCACAGGAGGAACAGGAUAGUAGGAUGGUACAAGAGCAGAGAAGGGUCAGUGAAACGGGAUAGAGAGCCCCCAGAUAGACCCACACGGAUGACAAGCAUGGUCAGCUGAGCUUUGACCAAGGAGCAAAGGCAAUUCAAAACAGAAAGCCUAGUCUUCUCAAUGAAAGAUGUUGCAACAACUGGAUCCUGCAGGGCUGUGAACUGUGGGAGGGAAAAUAGAAACUCAGAUUCUUCCUGAAGUCACUAGAACAUAAUCAGUUAAUUUCUUUCUGGAGGCUGGUCAGGGAUGCGCAUGCACAGCUGAUUGUUCUUUUAAAAUACAGACCUUAAAUAUAUGAGUCGUAUUUUCUAUAGUUAGUCUGUAACUAAGGUUUCCUAAGCAUAAAAAUAACGUUUCUCCCAGCACUACAAUUUAAUUUUACUUAUGGCCCAUUCACAAUUCCUGGGCAUCUUUAUGGUGUUACAUUUACAAGUUUGCAUUCAUUUUUACAGCUCCGUGUGUGAAACUGUUUU
rnacentral:lncRNA from 1 species